rnacentral:rRNA from 1 species
CCUACGGGGGGCUGCAGUGGGGAAUAUUGGACAAUGGGGGCAACCCUGAUCCAGCCAUGCCGCGUGUGUGAAGAAGGCCCUCGGGUUGUAAAGCACUUUCAGUGAGGAAGAACGCCUGGUGGUUAAUACCCAUCAGGAAAGACAUCACUCACAGAAGAAGCACCGGCUAACUCCGUGCCAGCAGCCGCGGUAAUACGGAGGGUGCGAGCGUUAAUCGGAAUUACUGGGCGUAAAGCGCGCGUAGGUGGCUUGAUAAGCCGGUUGUGAAAGCCCCGGGCUCAACCUGGGAACGGCAUCCGGAACUGUCAAGCUAGAGUGCAGGAGAGGAAGGUAGAAUUCCCGGUGUAGCGGUGAAAUGCGUAGAGAUCGGGAGGAAUACCAGUGGCGAAGGCGGCCUUCUGGACUGACACUGACACUGAGGUGCGAAAGCGGGGGUAGCAAACAGGAUUAGAUACCCUUGUAGUC